rnacentral:tRNA from 1 species
GGGGCUGAGGCUCAAUGGUAGAGCACUUGCCUGGCAUGUGUGAGGCACUGGGUUCAAUUCUCAGCACCA